rnacentral:rRNA from 1 species
GACGAACGCUGGCGGCGUGCUUAACACAUGCAAGUCGAACGGAAAGGCCCUGCUUUUGUGGGGUGCUCGAGUGGCGAACGGGUGAGUAACACGUGAGUAACCUGCCCUUGACUUUGGGAUAACUUCAGGAAACUGGGGCUAAUACCGGAUAGGAGCUCCUGCUGCAUGGUGGGGGUUGGAACGUUUCGGCGGUUGGGGAUGGACUCGCGGCUUAUCAGCUUGUUGGUUGGGUAGUGGCUUACCAAGGCUUUGACGGGUAGCCGGCCUGAGAGGGCGACCGGCCACAUUGGGACUGAGAUACGGCCCAGACUCCUACGGGAGGCAGCAGUGGGGAAUAUUGCACAAUGGGCGGAAGCCUGAUGCAGCAACGCCGCGUGCGGGAUGACGGCCUUCGGGUUGUAAACCGCUUUCGCCUGUGACGAAGCGUGAGUGACGGUAAUGGGUAAAGAAGCACCGGCUAACUACGUG